UGGGGAAUAUUGGGCAAUGGGGGAAACCCUGACCCAGCGACGCCGCGUGAGGGAAGAAGGUCUUCGGAUUGUAAACCUUUGUAGACAGGGAAGAAGAAAGUGACGGUACCUGUAAAGUAAGCCACGGCUAACUACGUGCCAGCAGCCGCGGUAAUACGUAGGUGGCGAGCGUUAUCCGGAAUUACUGGGUGUAAAGGGUGUGUAGGCGGGAAUGUAAGUCAGAUGUGAAAUACCUAAGCUCAACUUAGGUCCUGCAUUUGAAACUAUAUUUCUUGAGAGUGGGAGAGGUAAGCGGAAUUCCUGGUGUAGCGGUGAAAUGCGUAGAUAUCAGGAGGAACACCGGUGGCGAAGGCGGCUUACUGGACCACAACUGACGCUGAGACACGAAAGCGUGGGGAGCAAACA
rnacentral:rRNA from 1 species